AGUAGUUGCAAGAGGACAAACCUAGAGCGUAGGAGGCAUGCCUGGGUUCCAGUCUUCCCCUCAACCAGGAGUUUUUGGUGAAUAAGAUUCUAGAGAGCAGCUUAACUGUCCAGCUUUGUGUUCCCCAUGUGUAAGGAUAAUAGAUGAUCCAGCACUCGGAUGCCAUGGAAAGUUCUAAAAAGGAAUGCAUUUGUCAAGGGCCGCAGCAGACUCUGCCAACUGCUAGUUCAGCUAGAUUGUGAUCACGCUUCAUUUUUCAUCAACAUUCUGCUUAAUUUACCACAAAUGUCAUUGUCCCAGGGCUGUCAGCCUGGAAAGAUGAUGCCCUUGUUGUGUGGGCUUCAUGGGAACUGACUGUUGAGGGGCUCGAGCUGUAAGGAGCAAAUCAUCAUUUAUAAUUUCCCACUCUACUUAGUUGAGGCAGGCAGAUGCCUUAGAGCCUGACAAAAAGAAGGACUUGAAGCUAAGCAGAUGGGCAGGCAAAUAUCUUAGCAGCACCUGCUGCUGGCUGUGAUGGUUCCAGCUACCUGUCUUUGGGGAAGAGAUUCUGUGGUCCUUACUGCUUGAAGUAUAGAUCUGCACUGUCCACUAUAGUCACUAGCCACAUGUGGCUAUUGAGCACUUGAAAUGUGGCUAGUCCAAAUUGAGAUGUGUUGAGUGUAUAAAAUAUACACCGAAUUUGGAAGACUUAAAA